CAGGACGAACGCUGGCGGCGUGCCUAACACAUGCAAGUCGGGCGAUGAAGUUCUUCGGAACGGAUUAGCGGCGGACGGGUGAGUAACGCGUGAGCAAUCUGCCUUACACAAAGGGAUAGCCUCGGGAAACUGGGAUUAAUACCAUAUAACACUUACAUAUCGCAUGAUGAGUAAGUCAAAGAUUUAUCGGUGUAAGAUGAGCCCGCGUCUGAUUAGCUAGUUGGUGGGGUAAAGGCCUACCAAGGCAACGAUCAGUAGCCGGCCUGAGAGGGUGAACGGCCACACUGGAACUGAGACACGGUCCAGACUCCUACGGGAGGCAGCAGUGGGGAAUAUUGCACAAUGGGCGCAAGCCUGAUGCAGCGACGCCGCGUGAGCGAAGAAGGUUUUCGGAUCGUAAAGCUCCGUCCUUUGGGAAGAAAAAAUGACGGUACCAAAGGAGGAAGCCCCGGCUAACUACGUGCCAGCAGCAGC
rnacentral:rRNA from 1 species